UACGAGUGCCCCGAGCGUUAUCCGGAAUUAUUGGGUGUAAAGGGUGUGUAGGCGGUUUUGUUAGUCUUUUGUUAAAUAUCCCGGCUUAACCGGGAAAGGGCAAAGGAAACGGCAAGACUUGAGAGUGCGAGGGGUGAACAGAACUCAUAGUGUAGGGGUGAAAUCCGUUGAUAUUAUGGGGAAUACCAAAAGCGAAGGCAGUUCACUGGCGCAUUUCUGACGCUGAGACACGAAAGCGUGGGUAGCGAAUGGG
rnacentral:rRNA from 1 species